AUGAAAACUCAUUUUGGCUAACGGUGACACCUAGUGGUGUAGGGAACCGGGUUUUCCACGUUAGGACGGAGGACAGACAGGCCCUUGGGAUGGAGGCCACAGCUCCCGUCAGAGCUAAGGCAGCUGGAGCUCUCUUGUGUUUACCUGAAGCCUCGGCUGGGUCUAAUACCCCUGCUGGUCCUAAGAAGUGCCUGGAAUCAGAAGACCCAGUCUACCUUUGUGGGAAAGGGGACUGGGAGGAGCAACCUGGAGAAGGAGUUCCACGGUGGGACUAGUGGAGAGGAGCUGGCCAUCACCUGGAAAACAAGCUACACAUCUCCUGAAAAACAGAAGUCCUGGAGAGGGAGACAGAAUUACUGGAGCCAGAAUUCAGUGCCAUGGAACUGGCUUUGGACCCCAGCUUGUGUGCUUUGAAGUCCUGGACACACAUGGUUUGGAAGCCCAGGCAGGAAUGGAAAGAACUGGCCUGCAGGAAGUGGUUCCGAGUCCUUCACCUGGCCUCAACCGACUCCUCCAAACUUACUCCAGGCAUUUUUCCAAUUACGAAUGAACUCUCUCCCUCAAGUAAGAGGGUCCAGGGCCAAAGCAGCUGCAGCAGGAAGCCUCCUCACCCAUCAUACCCAGCCCCCAGCCAGCACAACGGGGAGGUCAGCUCGAAGACAAGACAAAAGAGCACAGGGAAAAACAGGUGCUGCCUGAGUACACUGAAGCUGGAGAAAGGCUUUCACAGACCUCAGGCUUAGUAGAUGAAGAAAUCAUGCAGGUAAGGACUGCAAACCUUCCAUUUAAGUUACUUAACUCUGAGCCUCAGUUUUGUCCACUAUAAAAUGGGAAUGAUUACCAUCACCUCUUGGUACCUAUGGGUGUAGUAUUUAAAUAUAGCUUACACUUACAAUACUUAUUACAAUAUAAAUGUUACAUAGUUGUUAUAGUGCAUUCUUUAGGAAAUAAUGGCAAGACAAAACAAUCUGAACACAUGCAUUUUUUUCAAGUAUCUUCAGUCUGCAGUUUGUUGAACCUACAAAUAUGGAAACCAUGAGUAUGAAGGGCAAAGAAUACAUUAUCUUCUCAUGACGACAUUCCAAAGCUUACUUACAUAGGGUAAUGAGGAUGAAAAUGUCUUAUGCUAUAAAAUGCUUCAUGGGGCCAGGGAUUUAACUCAGUGGUUCCAGUGCCUGCUGCACAAGUGCAAGGUCCCGAGU